rnacentral:rRNA from 1 species
AGAGUUUGAUCCUGGCUCAGGACGAACGCUGGCGGCGUGCUUAACACAUGCAAGUCGAACGGAAAGGCCCUGCUUUUGUGGGGUGCUCGAGUGGCGAACGGGUGAGUAACACGUGAGUAACCUGCCCUUGACUUUGGGAUAACUUCAGGAAACUGGGGCUAAUACCGGAUAGGAGCUCCUGCUGCAUGGUGGGGGUUGGAAAGUUUCGGCGGUUGGGGAUGGACUCGCGGCUUAUCAGCUUGUUGGUGGGGUAGUGGCUUACCAAGGCUUUGACGGGUAGCCGGCCUGAGAGGGUGACCGGCCACAUUGGGACUGAGAUACGGCCCAGACUCCUACGGGAGGCAGCAGUGGGGAAUAUUGCACAAUGGGCGGAAGCCUGAUGCAGCAACGCCGCGUGCGGGAUGACGGCCUUCGGGUUGUAAACCGCUUUCGCCUGUGACGAAGCGUGAGUGACGGUAAUGGGUAAAGAAGCACCGGCUAACUACGUGCCAGCAGCCGCGGUGAUACGUAGGGUGCGAGCGUUGUCCGGAUUUAUUGGGCGUAAAGGGCUCGUAGGUGGUUGAUCGCGUCGGAAGUGUAAUCUUGGGGCUUAACCCUGAGCGUGCUUUCGAUACGGGUUGACUUGAGGAAGGUAGGGGAGAAUGGAAUUCCUGGUGGAGCGGUGGAAUGCGCAGAUAUCAGGAGGAACACCAGUGGCGAAGGCGGUUCUCUGGGCCUUUCCUGACGCUGAGGAGCG